CAUCUAGAUGAAUUGAAUAAUCUAUAAUGGUAGAGGAGCAGCAUGCAGAGGAUGAGCAACAUGUAAAAGAACCUUUCCAAAUGACAGAUUCAGCCACUCCAACAUUCUGAAGCGCAAGGUAAUAUGUAGCUUAGAAAUUUAUUAAAUUCAUUCAUGACCUCUAAUUUCUUCUAUUUUCUUAUAGCUGAAGGGCCAUCAACUAGAAAAACAAAAGGAAAAACACAAAUGCACAAGCUGCAUGCCCAACAAGAGAAAAAAUCAUAUUAAACCAGAACAACCAACCUGUUAGUCCCACAGAUGAUGUUGUAACUGAGUUGGGCAGCUUCCUAGGCACAUUUGCAAGGAAAACGCAUAUUUGCCCAUUGGAUAUACUUGAUUGGAGGCAAAAUAUGAUCUUCCUGAUGCCGCAAAACAUUGGGUUUUGGAAAGAAUUCGAGAAUCUUGGAGAAAGCAUAGAGAUGAUUUAAAAAGAGAUCACUACGAUCCAUAUGAUGAUGAUGUUGUUCGAUUGAAGAAAAAGCCCGAUAGUGUUCCAGAAUGUCAAUUUAAAGAGCUCCUCAUGUAUUGGAAGUCCGAAAAAUUCCAGAAAAUGUCCGAAACCAAUACCGAGAAUUGGAAGAAGCUAGUGAAUCCACACACUACUGGAAAGAAGAGUUUUGCUUUAGUUCGGAACAAAUUGGAAAAUAAGAAGGGGGAAUCUGUCUCUAAAGGAGAUGUUUGCGGUCACAAGAGCAAGAAAACCUGAUCGCACGUAUAAGUCGUCUAAUGAGGACACCAACAGUAAAAUUACUCAAAUGGAGGAAAUUGAAACACAAUAGGGAGCAAAUGAACAGCCCGUUGAUGCAUUUUCAACCGUCAUCGGUGCUGAACAUCCGAGACAUGUAAGACUGCUUGGAGGAGGGUUACAAAGACUUCUUUGAAAAGAUUAAAUGGCAGCUCCGGACAAACUUUAAAUGCCACAAAUGAUGUUGUCCAACAAAUGCAAGAAGGAUGCAAAAAGUGGAGGAUCAAAUCGAGGAGCAAAAGAGAACAAUUCAACAAGAAGAGUUGUUGCAGAUGUAAUUGCUCAACUUCAGAAUGCAGGAAUAAUUGAUCCGAAGAUACUGGCGGCAUUGUCCAAGAAGUUGUUGCAGCAGAUGUAAUUGCUCAACUUCAGAAUGCAGGAAUAAUUGAUCGGAAGAUAUUGGCGGCAUUGUCCUUUCCUUCACCAACGAAAUCGACUUCUACACUAGCAGCCACUCAAAAUAGUCAAGGGGAGCAAGAUUAUUACAGAUUGUAAAAAUAGUGAAGUUAAGGUUGGGCAAAUCUACAAAGACAAGUGUACUCUAAUUUUAAUGGCAAGAUAUGCCAUUGAGCAUUCCUUCAAUUUCCAUGCAAGAAGAUUGGACAAGAAAAGUUAUGUCCUAAAUGUCGUUCGGAGGAUUGUAUAUGGAUAUUUAAGGCAUCGUGUCGGCGGAGGACUAACCUCUUUAAGUGGAUAUAGUCAUAUUGAUCGGAGACUAUGUUACUGGAAUCUAAAAAAUUGAUGUCUCGAUUUUGCCGGAUUUUCAGACAUGCACACACCAUUUUUAAAGAGUCCGAGCAACAUAAAUUGGACGUGAUUCAGCUGAAAGGAGAAGGAAAAAGUUAUUUUUGCCUUUUACUUGUACUAUACUAUCUUCUGUUUGUAGAGAAUUUAUCUUAUUCUUUCUUUUUAGGUUUUACAAGUCCAUCCUAUUGUAUAU